rnacentral:rRNA from 1 species
CCAGAGUUUGAUCAUGGCUCAGAUUGAACGCUGGCGGCAGGCUUAACACAUGCAAGUCGAGCGGAGAGAGGUAGCUUGCUACUGAUCUUAGCGGCGGACGGGUGAGUAAUGCUUAGGAAUCUGCCUAUUAGUGGGGGACAACAUUUCGAAAGGAAUGCUAAUACCGCAUACGUCCUACGGGAGAAAGCAGGGGAUCUUCGGACCUUGCGCUAAUAGAUGAGCCUAAGUCGGAUUAGCUAGUUGGUGGGGUAAAGGCCUACCAAGGCGACGAUCUGUAGCGGGUCUGAGAGGAUGAUCCGCCACACUGGGACUGAGACACGGCCCAGACUCCUACGGGAGGCAGCAGUGGGGAAUAUUGGACAAUGGGCGCAAGCCUGAUCCAGCCAUGCCGCGUGUGUGAAGAAGGCCUUAUGGUUGUAAAGCACUUUAAGCGAGGAGGAGGCUACUUUAGAUAAUACCUAGAGAUAGUGGACGUUACUCGCAGAAUAAGCACCGGCUAACUCUGUGCCAGCAGCCGCGGUAAUACAGAGGGUGCAAGCGUUAAUCGGAUUUACUGGGCGUAAAGCGCGCGUAGGCGGCUAAUUAAGUCAAAUGUGAAAUCCCCGAGCUUAACUUGGGAAUUGCAUUCGAUACUGGUUAGCUAGAGUGUGGGAGAGGAUGGUAGAAUUCCAGGUGUAGCGGUGAAAUGCGUAGAGAUCUGGAGGAAUACCGAUGGCGAAGGCAGCCAUCUGGCCUAACACUGACGCUGAGGUGCGAAAGCAUGGGGAGCAAACAGGAUUAGAUACCCUGGUAGUCCAUGCCGUAAACGAUGUCUACUAGCCGUUGGGGCCUUUGAGGCUUUAGUGGCGCAGCUAACGCGAUAAGUAGACCGCCUGGGGAGUACGGUCGCAAGACUAAAACUCAAAUGAAUUGACGGGGGCCCGCACAAGCGGUGGAGCAUGUGGUUUAAUUCGAUGCAACGCGAAGAACCUUACCUGGCCUUGACAU